rnacentral:rRNA from 1 species
UACGGGGGGAGCAAGCGUUGUUCGGAUUUACUGGGCGUAAAGGGCGCGUAGGCGGUCGUGACAAGUCACUUGUGAAAUCUCCGGGCUUAACUCGGAACGGUCAAGUGAAACUGUCAUGCUAGAGUGCAGAAGGGGCAAUCGGAAUUCUUGGUGUAGCGGUGAAAUGCGUAGAUAUCAAGAGGAACACCUGAGGUGAAGACGGGUUGCUGGGCUGACACUGACGCUGAGGCGCGAAAGCCAGGGGAGCAAACGGG